rnacentral:rRNA from 1 species
UACGUAGGGGGCAAGCGUUGUCCGGAAUUAUUGGGCGUAAAGCGCGCGCAGGCGGUCGGCUUAGUCGGGUGGUUAAGCCCGGGGCUUAACCCCGGGUCACACCGGAAACGGGUCGACUGGAGUGCAGAAGAGGAGAGUGGAAUUCCACGUGUAGCGGUGAAAUGCGUAGAGAUGUGGAGGAACACCAGUGGCGAAGGCGACUCUCUGGGCUGUAACUGACGCUGAGGCGCGAAAGCGUGGGGAGCAAACAGG